AUGACAACGUCAUUUAGCUGGCUGGCAUGGACAGACCAGAGAGAAGGGAAGCAGAAAAGGGAGCAGAGCUAUGAGUGGUAUGAAAGUCUUCGGAAAAAUGAAAGCCGGUGCUUUCAAGUUGCCGAGGCAUAUACCUGCCGCGGAGAUCUGGCAUGUAGAGAGGCCAGCCAGGCCGCUGCCCGGGUGCAAGAGAGCCCGGGGCUGAGUUCUCUGAAGUCUGGCGAGUUGGAGAUCACAGCACCUGGCAGGAUGGGAACCCACUGCAUCUUCUGUCUGAAGUUCAACAGCAAGCCACACAUGUCCAGCAACCACCCACCCCACCUGGCUAGCACCUCCGUGCACGUGUCCUGGCAGCUUGACUGAGGGCAGAGGAGGGCCAGCAAACCUGGACAGAUUGCAAUGUCAGAUGGCAAAACAGAUCCCAUGGCAUAUAAGGUGGGAGGAGCAGGUGGGUCAGGGCGCUGGAGAUGCAAGAGUGCCUUCUUCACCCAGGUUGCCGGUCCAAACACAGCCGUGCCGGCAGCAAGGGAAAGGUGUUGAUGGUGGCAUGGGCGAGGCUGGUUGACCAUCACUGUGCGGGUAUUAUUAGACACAUGGAGUCUGCUCUGCAGGCCCCUGACUCCUCGUGAGCAAAUAGGCUGCAACCAGUCAAGCCACAGGGAACAUCUCAUUGUGAGCAGACUCAAGGAACGUGACAGGUUGUGACACAGAGGGCAUGUCUACACGAUGUGCAGUCAGCCGUGUGGCGGUUAAAAACCAUGCUAAUAGCCUACUGUGCAGUGUUAUUAAGCUAAUGUGCAGGGAGCAUCAAAAAAGUAACGGUGCGCUAGUGCUACUGCGCAGUAACUAAUUCCUGCACAUUUAGUUAGGACUUUAUUUAGCAAGUACUAAACUAAGGUGCAUUAACGAAUGUGUAGACGUGCUCAGUGAGGCCCAGCGCUGUAGUUCAGCCUGAUCUUUGCAGCCCUUCUCCAUGGGAGAGAGCUCCUUGUCCGUGUUGAAUUAUUGUUUCCUAUAUAUAACAAUUGAUCAAAGCAGGGUUUUGAAUCAGGAUGAGAAAAUGAAUAAGUCCUGCUGUGAAUGUUAGGGCACUCGUACUGCAUGUGUGUGUAUGUGAAAUCACACCCACGUGCAAGCCCAAGAAAGCUGC
rnacentral:lncRNA from 1 species